rnacentral:rRNA from 1 species
CCUACGGGGUGCAGCAGUGAGGAAUAUUGGUCAAUGGGCGUAAGCCUGAACCAGCCAAGUCGCGUGAGGGAUGAAGGUUCUAUGGAUCGUAAACCUCUUUUAUAAGGGAAUAAAGUGUGGGACGUGUCCUGUUUUGUAUGUACCUUAUGAAUAAGGAUCGGCUAACUCCGUGCCAGCAGCCGCGGUAAUACGGAGGAUCCGAGCGUUAUCCGGAUUUAUUGGGUUUAAAGGGUGCGUAGGCGGCCUUUUAAGUCAGCGGUGAAAGUCUGUGGCUCAACCAUAGAAUUGCCGUUGAAACUGGGAGGCUUGAGUAUGUUUGAGGCAGGCGGAAUGCGUGGUGUAGCGGUGAAAUGCUUAGAUAUCACGCAGAACCCCGAUUGCGAAGGCAGCCUGCCAAGCCAUGACUGACGCUGAUGCACGAAAGCGUGGGGAUCAAACAGGAUUAGAUACACCAGUAGUC